rnacentral:rRNA from 1 species
GGGUCAGGAGGUUGGUCGUGCCACCGGUACGUACUGGUCUCACUGAUUCCUCCUUCCUGAAGAACCGUAAUGCCAUUAAUUUGGUGUUGCGGGGAAACAGGACUGUUACUUUGAAAAAAUUAGCGUGUUUAAAGCAAGCUAACGCUUGAAUACAUUAGCAUGGAAUAAUGAAAUAGGACGAUCGAUCCUAUUUUGUUGGUUUCUAGGAUUGACGUA